AAUUCGCCCUUAGAGUUUGAUCAUGGCUCAGAUUGAACGCUGGCGGCAUGCCUUACACAUGCAAGUCGAACGGCAGCAUGAUCUAGCUUGCUAGAUUGAUGGCGAGUGGCGAACGGGUGAGUAAUACAUCGGAACGUGCCCUGUAGUGGGGGAUAACUAGUCGAAAGAUUAGCUAAUACUGCAUACGACCUGAGGGUGAAAGUGGGGGACCGCAAGGCCUCAUGCUAUAGGAGCGGCCGAUGUCUGAUUAGCUAGUUGGUGGGGUAAAGGCCCACCAAGGCGACGAUCAGUAGCUGGUCUGAGAGGACGAUCAGCCACACUGGGACUGAGACACGGCCCAGACUCCUACGGGAGGCAGCAGUGGGGAAUUUUGGACAAUGGGCGAAAGCCUGAUCCAGCAAUGCCGCGUGUGUGAAGAAGGCCUUCGGGUUGUAAAGCACUUUUGUCCGGAAAGAAAUGGCUCUGGUUAAUACCUGGGGUCGAUGACGGU
rnacentral:rRNA from 1 species